rnacentral:rRNA from 1 species
UACGGGGGGGGCAAGCGUUGUUCGGAAUUACUGGGCGUAAAGGGCCCGUAGGCGGCUAACUAAGUCGGAUGUGAAAUCCCCAGGCUCAACUUGGGAACUGCAUCCGAUACUGGAUGGCUUGAAUUCGGGAGAGGGAUGCAGAAUUCCAGGUGUAGCGGUGAAAUGCGUAGAUAUCUGGAGGAAUACCGGUGGCGAAGGCGGCAUCCUGGACCGACAUUGACGCUGAACGGCGAAAGCUAGGGGAGCAAACGGG